CAGUAGCCACGGUAACACCAGCAGCCCAAGUGGUGGUCGCGUUUAUUGGGCCUAAAGCGCUCGUAGCCUGACCGGUAAGUUCCCCGUGAAAUCGGGUCGCCCAACGAUUCGGCUUGCGGGGAAUACUGUCGGUCUUGGGGCCGGGAGACGCCGAGGGUACUCCGGGGGUAGCGGUGAAAUGCUGUAAUCCUCGGGGGACUACCAGUGGCGAAGGCGCUCGGCGAUAACGGGCCUGACGGUGAGGGGCGAAAGCUGGGGGCGCGAACGGGAUUAGAUACCCCCGUAGUCCCUGUCUCUUAUA
rnacentral:rRNA from 1 species